UUUUUUUUUUUUUUUUUUUUUUUUAAUGGCUCACCUAUGGCAAAUGGAAGUUCCCAGGGGUUGUAUCUGAGCUGCAGCUGCAGCAGCACUGGAUUCUUUAACCCACUGUGCUGGGCUGGGGAUCAAACCUGUACCUGCGCAGAGCCCUGAGCUGCUGCGGUUGGGUUUUUAACCCACUGUGCCACAGCGGGAACUCCGUCAUCCUACGUCUUGAGGGAGAGAAGGAGCCUGAGGAGCCAAGUGUUUUAGUGUUGCUGAUUCUGGCUGCCAUUCAUGGCUUCUCAGUAGAGGCAGGUCCCGUUGCUAUGGCAGCAGGUUAGUAAGCUGCCCGGCAGGGAAACUGAGGCCAGGGUGGCGGGGCGGCGGUUGGUUUGGGGGGUGCUGGCGCUGGUCCCAUCGCGGAUGUCACUGCCUGUAGUCCCUGCUCCUGGGGGCUCCACUGCCCCGUGCAGGAAGCCGGGGCUGCUCCUGGGGGUCCGGCCAGCAGCACGUGCGGAGGUCAAUGGAGCCAGGGCACAGCCCGGCCUCUGCAGCGACCGGAGGGUCAGUCUGGAACUGACGUGGACCUUACCCACGUGUGGAGGCACAGCAGGCCUCAAAGAGCAGCGCUGAGUGGAUGAGGCCCCCGUGGUGGCCCAGGCCGGCCUCAUAACAGCCGCGUGUCCCUUUCCGAUGCUGUCUGGGGGUCUAGUCCGCCACUGGUGCCGUUCUGUAACUGGCCUGUGCCCGCCUUCCGCCUCAGUGUAGCUCCCUGGGUGCCGGGCCUGGGCGCGGCCUGGAUAUGGAGGGCCCUCUGCCAGCAUGACCCCAGCUGGCCCGCGGACAGCCACUCCUCCCUCUGGGCCUCUUGGAGGCAGGCAGGGCCGUGCAGGAGCUGCCUGUGCAAACGCAGCCAAGCCCAGCAAGUGGAAUCUGGCAUCCCGUGCCAUCCCCACCCCUUUUCUCCAGAACAAGCAGAUAAAUUACCUCUGAGGAAACUGAGUUUAAUCAUCUGGUUCCCCAUCACACCUGUGGGCUCUGCUCCUGGACCAGCUCCCGCUGGCAGUGCCCGAGCAUGUACAACCCUGCCCGUCCCGCCCUGCCCCGCACCGUCUCUGGCUGUUGGAUGCAGGACUCAUGUCCGUGGCUGUGUCUGUUCCGUUCAUACCCUUUGAAGAAUGAUGGGGAGACAGACAAAUAUACUUGCGGUUUUUAUACAGACAGAUGGAAAGCAGGGGUGACCAAUGAGAGGAAGAGGUGUGGCGUGGAUGCAGGGAGGAACCGGGCAGGUCCUUCUUAGGGGCCGUUGGGAGGCUCCCCUUGCCCUUUGGCCGUGGCAUUUCCUCCCAGUCCAGUGUAGAGGCUUAGUCUGGCGGGAGCACGCUCCUCUGCAUGGCCUGGCGUCUGUGCCUCGACGUCCCCUUGCUGCCCUGCUGAGUGGUGGUGCCCCCGAGCCCAGAACGUUCCACGUGGCCCCAGACUAGCCAGUGGGGCUUCUGUCAGCUCCUGAGGUCCUUCCUCGUCACUGCUGCUGCAGGACUCCAUCUCGGGGGCUCUGCGGGUCCCCUGUCCCUCGUGUGGCUCCUUGUGGGCGAUAGGACCUGCUUCCAAGUGACAGGUUGUGUGCUGGGGGCUCACCCGUUGGACUAUAGGUGCCCUCAGGCUGGGUAGCAGCAGGGACAUCUGUUUGAACCCUGCAGAAGCGUCACUAGCAUCUGGCUCGGUGUGGGCGGAUGUGGAGGUGCAGGUGUCCGGAUGCAGGGGUCAGCCCCAACGAGAAGCAGAAGACGGCCAUAUCGCCCCGGGGCAGCGAGUUUUAGAUGGUCCCGUCUCUGCACACGGGGACCGGGGAAUGCCUCUCCACCGUGGCCCCUCCCUGGUGACCUUGUGUUCAUAAGCGGGGUGGCACCCACACAGGCUGACAUGUCACCAUAAAAUCUCCCAAGCCUCUGUUAGAAGCUCCUCAGAGCUCUUGACUUUUUGUCUGGACGAGUGGAUGAGGGACAGUCCACCAUGCGGUCCAGCUCCCAGGUCUGGGUCACUUUUCAUCAGCCUCCUGGCGGUGGGGGCUGGACAGUGAGUCCCCUGUGUGGUCAGUUCUGCACCCCUCACUUCCCUGAGGCGCACACACCACAGGUUACCCACCCCACCCAGGUCCGUCCCAAAGGCACUGAGCCAGAGCGCCAUUUGCCUCUUGUCAGGGAGGAGGUUGGCAUGGAAUCAGACACAGGCAUCACACAGGGCUUCACCUCUGGCCCGGAAGGGAGCGUGAGACCACCCAGGACAGGGAGACGGUCAGGUGAGUGGUUGGUACCUAAAAGCUUUGAGAAAUUAAAGUUUAUCAAUUGAAUCUUCAAGAUGAUGGCAUUCCUUCCUUCCAUCCAUCCUUCCAUCCAUCUAGCCAUCCGUGAAGUCAUUCCUCAUCCAUCCUUCCAUUAAUCAUCUCUCCUUCUAUCCUUUCUUCCAUACUUCUUUCCAUCCUUCCAUCCAUCCAUCCCUCCAUCCAUCCAUCC
ensembl:lncRNA